AGGACGAACGCUGGCGGCGUGCUUAACACAUGCAAGUCGAGCGGUAAGGCUCCUUCGGGAGUACACGAGCGGCGAACGGGUGAGUAACACGUGAGCAAUCUGCCCUUCUCUUCGGAAUAACCAUUGGAAACGAUGGCUAAUGCCGAAUACGACCUCCUUUCGCAUGAUCGGAGGUGGAAAGCUCCGGCGGAGAAGGAUGAGCUCGCGGCCUAUCAGCUAGUUGGCGGGUAACGCCCACCAAGGCGACGACGGUAGCCGGCCUGAGAGGUCGACCGGCCACACGUGGGACUGGAGACACGGCCCAGACCUCCGACGGAGGCAGCAGUGGGAAUAGUGGACAAGUGGGACGAAAGCCGUGAUCCAGCAACGCCGCGUGAGGAUGGACGGUCCGUUCGGGUGUAAACCGUCUUACAGCGA
rnacentral:rRNA from 1 species